GCCAGCAGCCAUAUCACCCUGCAACUCACAACUGGCAGCCCAUUGAAGCUCAGCAGGGAUGAGCCUGGUCAGUAAAUCAAUAGGAGACCACCAGGCAAGUUAAGGUUGCUGCUGGAA
rnacentral:rRNA from 1 species